GAGCGUCAUUGCAAAACUCAAGCUCAGCUUGGUAUUGGGCACCCGUCCCGAGCGGACGUGCUUCAAAGGCCUCGGCAGCGUUGGCCCGGCUUCAGGCGUAGCAGAAACCCUCGCCUUGGAAGCUGCGGUCCCGUUCGCCGCAAAGCUCCCCUUCCAUCAAGGUUGACCUCGGAUCAGGUAGGGAUACCCGCUGAACUUAA
rnacentral:misc_RNA from 1 species